rnacentral:rRNA from 1 species
UACGUAGGGUGCAAGCGUUGUCCGGAAUUAUUGGGCGUAAAGGGCGCGUAGGCGGCGCAACAAGUCACUUGUGAAAUCUCCGGGCUUAACCCGGAGCGGCCAAGUGAUACUGUCGUGCUAGAGUGCGGAAGGGGCUACUGGAAUUCUCGGUGUAGCGGUGAAAUGCGUAGAUAUCGAGAGGAACACCUGCGGCGAAGGCGGGUAGCUGGGCCGACACUGACGCUGAGGCGCGAAAGCCAGGGGAGCGAACGGG